UACGUAGGGUGCGAGCGUUGUCCGGAUUUAUUGGGCGUAAAGAGCUCGUAGGCGGUUUGUCACGUCGGAUGUGAAAGCCCGGGGCUUAACCCCGGGUCUGCAUUCGAUACGGGCAGACUAGAGUGUGGUAGGGGAGAUCGGAAUUCCUGGUGUAGCGGUGAAAUGCGCAGAUAUCAGGAGGAACACCGGUGGCGAAGGCGGAUCUCUGGGCCAUUACUGACGCUGAGGAGCGAAAGCGUGGGGAGCGAACAGG
rnacentral:rRNA from 1 species